GUGUGUUUGUGUGUGUUCUUGUUUAACUAUAUUCGUGGGGUCCAAAAACCCGGGAGUUCAGUAUACUUGUGGGGUCCCGACAGCUUUGGGGAGCCAAAAUGCUGGACCCCACAACUUUAAAGGGCUGUUUGAGGGUUAAGACUUGGUUUUAGGGUUAGGGUUAGAAUCAGGUUAUGGUUUGGGUGAGGGUUAAGGUUAAGGUUAGGCAUUUAGUUGUGAUGGUUGAUGAUAGGGUAAGGGGCUUGGGAAGGCACUAUGUCAAUGAUGUGUCCCCACAAAGAUAGU